AACCAGACUCCUACGGGAGGCAGCAGUGGGGAAUAUUGCACAAUGGGGGGAACCCUGAUGCAGCGACGCCGCGUGGGUGAAGGAGCACCUCGGUGCGUAAAGCCCUAUCGGCAGGGAAGAAACAGACGGUACCUGACUAAGAAGCCCCGGCUAACUACGUGCCAGCAGCCGCGGUAAUACGUAGGGGGCAAGCGUUAUCCGGAAUUAUUGGGUGUAAAGGGUGCGUAGACGGAGAAACAAGUUGGUUGUGAAAUCCCUCGGCUCAACCGAGGAACUGCAACCAAAACUAUUUCCCUUGAGUGUCGGAGAGGAAAGUGGAAUUCCUAGUGUAGCGGUGAAAUGCGUAGAUAUUAGGAGGAACACCAGUGGCGAAGGCGACUUUCUGGACGAUAACUGACGUUGAGGCACGAAAGUGUGGGGAGCAAACAGGAUUAGAUACCCUAGUA
rnacentral:rRNA from 1 species